rnacentral:ncRNA from 1 species
UAUCGGCGUACAACGAUGGGGACGCGCUCCUCGAUGUGGUGCCGAGGGAAACGAGCCACAGCAACAGCGUCUCAUGAAAGGACGGAAAGCUGAAACAUCAAGUGUCGGGCAAUAGAGUUUGGUAGGCCGGUAACGGUUCGAAGAAGUUUGGCCCG